GCAUGAUUAUUACCAUUGCACCCCAGUGUUUAUAAUACCUGGUCAUAGGAAGGAUGGAACAAACAAAAAAUAAAGGCAAACUUUUACCCCCAAAAAAAGAGAACAUGAGAGAGAGAUUACUUUUGUGAAUCAGAAAGGUCACCUAGGCCAAAUGGUGUCUCCGAGGCAGAAAGCAAGGGAACUCGGGCAGGGAAGAGAAUUGUGUGCCUGAAAAAGGCAUAGCCAGUUGAAGGCAGAGGAAGGUGGAGAAGGGCAAAUUGAGCUCAUCUGAUGACCUCUGAGGUUCAGUAAUAAAGUCUCCAGUUGCUGAAAGGGGAGGAGAAGACACCAGGGUAUGAAGGAGAGAAUUGGCAUGGCUGGGAAGAAAUAAGGAAGAGAGGUUUUACCUCUAGAUUAGACAACAUUAUAAGUGGCAGCACCUAGGGCAUUAGUUUGUCUCUAAAGAGGAAGCAGAGGCUCUUGGUUUUAUGGAGUCCUAAAAAUGCUGUGUCAUCCUCCUGCUCUCACCUUUCCAGAAGACCUGGCAGCAGCUCCCGCACGCCUCACCCAAGACUUCCCAUUCCCUCUCAGAAAAACAGAUGCUACCUGUGUUUGACCCUAAUCACCCGGUUGAUCUUUCUUCCUUGAAAGACUGGCAUAAUCUAAACUCUCCAAAUUGAAAUCAAAGAAUAGUCAGCGAUAAGCACGGGGCAGUUACAGCUGUGGUUCAUGGGAAGCAAACCAGGUCAGUGCAUAUUGACAUAGAGCUGUGUUCCCUUGUCCAUUUAUAAAAUACCCUCACAUCUUUCCAAAUCCAUCUCUAGCAUUCUCUGCUAAAACUGGUUAAAUAAAUU
rnacentral:lncRNA from 1 species